GACAGAGGGUGGCAAACGUUGUUCGGAAUUACUGGGCGUAAAGCGCACGUAGGCGGCUUUGUAAGUUAGAGGUGAAAGCCUGGGGCUCAACCCCAGAAUUGCCUUUAAGACUGCAUCGCUUGAAUCCGGGAGAGGUGAGUGGAAUUCCGAGUGUAGAGGUGAAAUUCGUAGAUAUUCGGAAGAACACCAGUGGCGAAGGCGGCUCACUGGACCGGUAUUGACGCUGAGGUGCGAAAGCGUGGGGAGCAAACAGG
rnacentral:rRNA from 1 species